UAAUUUUUGGGUAAAAAUAAAUAUUUAGGGUUAAAUUAGAAUUUAAAAACAAUUUAAAAUGAGGGUUUAAUUGGGUGAUUUAAACCGAACCUGAGUGAUCUAUCCAUGACUAGGAUGAAGCUUGGGUGAAACUAAGUGAAGGUCUGAACCAACUAAUGUUGAAGAAUCAGCGGAUGAGUUGUGGUUAGGGGUGAAAUGCCACUCGAACCCAGAGCUAGCUGG
rfam:Gossypium hirsutum cultivar TM-1 unplaced genomic scaffold scaffold349.1, whole genome shotgun sequence